ACACGGUCCAGACUCCUACGGGAGGCAGCAGUGGGGAAUAUUGGACAAUGGGCGAAAGCCUGAUCCAGCCAUGCCGCGUGUGUGAAGAAGGUCUUCGGAUUGUAAAGCACUUUAAGUUGGGAGGAAGGGCAGUUACCUAAUACGUAUCUGUUUUGACGUUACCGACAGAAUAAGCACCGGCUAACUCUGUGCCAGCAGCCGCGGUAAUACAGAGGGUGCAAGCGUUAAUCGGAAUUACUGGGCGUAAAGCGCGCGUAGGUGGUUCGUUAAGUUGGAUGUGAAAUCCCCGGGCUCAACCUGGGAACUGCAUUCAAAACUGUCGAGCUAGAGUAUGGUAGAGGGUGGUGGAAUUUCCUGUGUAGCGGUGAAAUGCGUAGAUAUAGGAAGGAACACCAGUGGCGAAGGCGACCACCUGGACUGAUACUGACACUGAGGUGCGAAAGCGUGGGGAGCAAACAGGGAUUAGAUACCCUGGUAGUCCACGCCGUAAACGAUGUCAACUANCCGUUGGGAGCCUUG
rnacentral:rRNA from 1 species